ACUCCUACGGGAGGCAGCAGUAGGGAAUCUUCCACAAUGGGCGCAGGCCUGAUGGAGCAACACCGCGUGAGUGAAGAAGGGUUUCGGCUCGUAAAGCUCUGUUGUUGAAGAAGAACAACGUAUGAGAGUAACUGUUCAUACGUUGACGGUAUUUAACCAGAAAGUCACGGCUAACUACGUGCCAGCAGCCGCGGUAAUACGUAGGUGGCAAGCGUUAUCCGGAUUUAUUGGGCGUAAAGAGAGUGCAGGCGGUUUUCUAAGUCUGAUGUGAAAGCCUUCGGCUUAACCGGAGAAGUGCAUCGGAAACUGGAUAACUUGAGUGCAGAAGAGGGUAGUGGAACUCCAUGUGUAGCGGUGGAAUGCGUAGAUAUAUGGAAGAACACCAGUGGCGAAGGCGGCUACCUGGUCUGCAACUGACGACGUGAAGGACCUCAAAGGCAUGGGUAGCGAACAGGAUUAGAUACCCUGGUAGGAUAGCG
rnacentral:rRNA from 1 species